rnacentral:rRNA from 1 species
AUUGAACGCUGGUGGCAGGCUUAACACAUGCAAGUCGAGCGGGGUGAUGGUGCUUGCACUAUCACUUAGCGGCGGACGGGUGAGUAAUGCUUAGGAAUCUGCCUAUUAGUGGGGGACAACAUCUCGAAAGGGAUGCUAAUACCGCAUACGUCCUACGGGAGAAAGCAGGGGAUCACUUGUGACCUUGCGCUAAUAGAUGAGCCUAAGUCGGAUUAGCUAGUUGGUGGAGUAAAGGCCUACCAAGGCGACGAUCUGUAGCGGGUCUGAGAGGAUGAUCCGCCACACUGGGCCUGAGACACGGCCCAGACUCCUACGGGAGGCAGCAGUGGGGAAUAUUGGACAAUGGGGGGAACCCUGAUCCAGCCAUGCCGCGUGUGUGAAGAAGGCCUUAUGGUUGUAAAGCACUUUAAGCGAGGAGGAGGCUCUUUUGGUUAAUACCCAAGAUGAGUGGACGUUACUCGCAGAAUAAGCACCGGCUAACUCUGUGCCAGCAGCCGCCGUAA